CCAGCUGCUCGCCAUAUCAUGCGUUUCACAGACUUUGCUUCUUUGUCUUCCGUGAAACGCGAUACUGAAGAAGCCUCACAGAUUUUCAGGCAACACACGCCGUUGUAGUUUAUUUAAUGGCCUCCUUCUACACGGAUAACCAUGGUAAUUCUAUGGCUAAUACACGCGAAGAGGCCACCUCCUUUGGAGGGGUUCAGUUCAUUGGUUACAAAAUCAACCCACUUCCGAAUGGAGUCUUGGUGAUUCAUAGUAACCGAACGGGUCGCAGGGGCUGUGCUUGUCAGAUAAAAACCAAACCCACUUUCGAGUGGGGUCUUCUAUUGGGCCCACGAUGGAUCACUCAAAUUUCCGACUUAUCAGCUUUCGACGUUAGGCUUUUGGCCUACCGUGGCAGUGACGGUAAAUGGGGAAUUAAGGUUCGAUUCCAGCGAGGGAGACUGAAAAACGGCUACCACGUUUAAAAAAGGCAGCAGGCGCGCAAUUUGCCCAAUGAAAACUUCGUGGUAAUGACGAAAAGCAACAAUAUAGGGCAUUUUAUGCUUUGCAAUUGGAAUGAUAGGAAUGUGAAACCUUUCCAGAGUAACAAUUGGAGGACACGUCUGGUGCCAGCAGCCGCGGUAAUUCCAGCUCCAAUAGUGUAUAUUAGGGUUGUUGCAGUUAAAAAGUUCGUAGUUCGAUUUCUGUCGUGGGCAUCCAGCGCCGUAUGGAUGUGGGUCUGGCAUGCCCUUGGAUUAUUUCCGACAGCCUUCCGAGCUUAAUGACGUGUGUUGCUGUUCUGGGACCUAUUCUAUGAGAAGAAUAGAAUGUUGCAAGCAGGCGUGUCUCCCUGAAAACUGCAGCAUGGAAUAAUAAGAUAGGACCAAUGUUCUAUUCUGUUCUUGAACCAAGAUAGUGAUUAAUAGGGACGGUUGGGGACAUUCGUAUUUAACUGCCACAGCUAAGUUCUUAGAUGCGAAAGCAUCUGCCAAGGAUGUUUGCAUUAACCAAGAACGACAGUGGGGGUUUUGAAGACAAGUAGAUACCGUGUCAAUCUCUACAAUAAACUACGCCGAUUAGAGAUAGAGAAAUGCCUACCUUGGCUCCUCCUGGACCUCAUCAGAAUUCAAAGUCUCUGGGUUCUG
rfam:Eimeria tenella Houghton genomic scaffold, Eth_scaff84